rnacentral:rRNA from 1 species
UGUCUUUUAGAAUUUAAUUUAAAGUCUAGCCUGCCCACUGAAUUUUUUUAAAUGGCCGCAGUAUUCUAACUGUGCAAAGGUAGCAUAAUCAUUAGUCUUUUAAUUGAAGGCUGGAAUGAAUGGUUGGAUGAAAUAUUAACUGUUUCAUAAGAAUUUAUAAUAGAAUUUUAUUUUUUAGUUAAAAAGCUAAGAUAACAUUAAUAGACGAGAAGACCCUAUAAAUCUUUAUAUUUUAAAAGUUAAAAUUAUAUGGAAAAAUUUAAAUUUAAUUUUAAAAAAUAUUUUAUUGGGGUGAUAUUAAAAUUUGAAAAACUUUUAAUUUGUAAAUAAACAUAAAUUAUUGAGUAUUUGACCCGUUUAUUACGAUUAAAAAAUUAAGUUACUUUAGGGAUAACAGCGUAAUUUUUUUAGAGAGUUCAUAUUGAUAAAAAAGAUUGCGACCUCGAUGUUGGAUUAAGAUAUAGUUUUAGGUGCAGUAGCUUAAAUCUUAAAGUCUGUUCGACUUUUAAAUUCUUACAUG